CCGGCGGCCGCUGAGGGAGAGGGAGCGGGGUUUUUUUUUUUCUCUCCAUCCUGGUAUUUUAUCAUCCUGGUCUCUUUGGACGUUGUCAAAAAAGUGCCCGUACUUCAAAACAGGAAAUUGAGUAUGAACACAAUUGAGGACGAAUCUGGCACAGUAACCUUGGAAACAAUCAGCUCAGUAACCCUAGCCCAAGACACAGAAGGCAAUCUGAUCUUGCAUUGCCCUCAAAACAAUUUAGAAUCUGAGGACAAUCAAGAACCUCUACACAAAAGGCUUUGUUUGUCAACUGAAGAUGACGCUAGUCUUGAAUCCACAGGUAUUGCUGGCCCAUUUGCAGCAGUACAAUCAGUUGUUACACUUCCAAUUUCAGACAAUGAUCAAAGUUUUGAGGUAACCAUGACUGGAGAGGCAGCAUCUGAGCUGACUCAUGCAACUGAAAUUGAAGACAGUGAAACCAUUACUCAGAUACAGAUCUUGCACAAUGAAGAUCAAAUGGAGAGCAUUUCUCCCCAAAACAAUGAAGAUUUGGAUCCUGUUAGUCAAGCCUGGUUUACAACUAAAGAAGACAAGGACACACUCCAGAACAAAGGCCACAAGUGGAAACAGGGAAUGUGGUCAAAGGAGGAAAUAGACAUUUUAAUGAGCAACAUUGAAAACUACCUACAGAUACAUGGACUAAGUGAUGCCACGGAAGUCAUAUUUGAAAUGUCAAAAGAUGAAAGAAAAGAUUUCUACCGGACUAUAGCGAGGGGUCUUAACCGGCCAUUGUUUGCAGUUUAUAGACGAGUGCUCCGGAUGUAUGACAAUAGAAACCACGUUGGAAAGUAUACGCCACAAGAAAUCGAGAAACUUAAAGAGUUACGAUCUAAGCAUGGUAAUGAUUGGGCAACGAUAGGGGCAGCUCUGGGAAGGAGUGCUUCCUCAGUAAAAGAUCGAUGCAGACUGAUGAAAGACACUUGCAACACUGGUAAAUGGACGGUAGAAGAAGAAAGACGACUAGCAGAGGUGGUCCAUGAAUUAACUGCCACGGAUCCUGGUGAUAUCGUCACUCAGGGUGUCUCUUGGGCUGCGGUGGCUGAACGGGUGGGCACUCGUUCAGAGAAGCAAUGCCGUUCCAAAUGGCUCAAUUACCUCAACUGGAAGCAGAGUGGAGGGACAGAAUGGAGCAAAGACGAUGAAAUAAACCUAAUUUUAAGAAUCGCAGAACUCAAUGCAGAGGAUGAAAGUGAAAUUAACUGGGACAUCAUGGCGGAAGGUUGGAGUAGUGUCCGCUCUCCCCAGUGGCUGAGAAGUAAAUGGUGGACCAUCAAACGGCAGGUUACGAACCAUAAAGAUUUGACGUUUGCAGAAUUGGUAGAGAGUUUGAGACAAUUGGUAGAGAGCCUAAAGCAACCACAUGUCCCAGUGCACCAAUUAUCUGAAUGUCAAACUGGAUCAAGUUCACACAAUUCAAAUUCAUCCUCUGUCCAGCAUCUGCGGGUUCGGUUAGCUCAAGUGGAGGAAAACAGCAGUGUCUCCAACAGUCCAGUAGCCGCUCUGCAGAUUCCUGUGCAAAUCACUCAUGUUGCAUCAGGUGAUUCUUGUGGGAGCAGUACAGAUUGUGAGACAAUAACGCUGAAUGCAGGGACUCUACAGAGGUUCGAAUUCCUACCUUCUUUCCGGUUACAACCCACAGGAACACCAGGAACUUACCUGAUUCAGACUAGCUCAAGUCAAGGCCUUCCUAUAACACUGACAACUAGUCCAACUGUCACCCUUACCUCACCAUCUUCUCCAGAGCAGAUUAUUGUGCACACUCUUUCACCUGAGGCUCUUCUUCACAGUACUAAUGAAAAUGUCAGUGUACAAAUGACACACCCGAGUGUCAUCAUCCAUGCCGUUGCCACUGAUGACAUCACUUCUUCUAUAACCCAAGCUGAGUUGACAGUUGACUCAGCAAUCGACCACACGGAUUUGACAGAGAAUCAGAUUAACUCCACAUCUCUCGAGACUGAAACCUACAGUGAGAUUGAUCAGGCAAAGUUAACUGAAGACCAAAACACAAGUCAGACAGACCUUACUGAAGCAGAAAUUGCCCAAUCAAAUCUGAACUCUGAUAGUAGUGAGGAUAUGAUGGGUUCAGAUGUAAAUAUUGAUGAAUCAGACCUCAGACAAGAUGUUGAAGUGCAAUCUGAUCUAAGUGGUGCUUAUGUAACUGAGGCUCUAGGUUCUCCCAACAUUGAAGCGAGCAUUGAUGAAGAAACAACACUUAUUGCUUCAUCGGAUCAUGGGUUUAUUCAAUCAACAGAUGACAUUGAUAAUGACUCAGUUUUGCCAUUAACAACACUGACUGUUGUGUGACUUUUAUCAGAACAUUGAAAUUGAGCCAGGCUCCAGACCUCAAAACAACCUUGAUCCAGCCAUGGACGCAAGAGCUGAAUACCAGAAUGAGAUCCCAUUCUACAACCCCGAGGUGACUGUUCAGACAUCAUUAGCUCAUCACUGGAAACCCCAGAUCCUGAUGAUUGAAAAUAAUGACUGUUCUGCAUACCUGUCGUGCUGUCUUUAAUAGUGAAUAAUCUAAUGUGUUGUUCAACUAUGAAAUGGUCAAUGGAUAAUGAAUUCUCUUGAUAAUUCAAGAUUUGUGAAUGUAUGGUGCUGCCUUUUGAGACCAACUAAAGUGAAUAGAGUAGUUUUCAAACCGAUUUAAUUUCCUAUGGUGCGAAUUUACUAAACAAUGUAAACUAAAAAAGUGACAUUGUGCCAAGAAAACUACCAAAUUCCUGUAAAUAUAUAAAAAAAAUUACAUCACCUUUCCCCUUAAUACAAUACUGCUGUCAGACUGACAGGAUUGAGUUGAGGAAUUUCUUCUGAAAUGGGAGAGAAAAAGUGUUGAGGUUUUUUUCAGUUAGUUGAACCAUCUAAAGGUGCUGAAAUUUAUUUUACCAAUAUCACCUUUGAGGCUGUUUACAUUCCUAGUUUAAUAAUCCCUCAUCAAAGCUUUUUUUUUGUAAAAUCCUGCCAAGUCAAAGACUUUGAACUAAGUUACACAUUCUUUAAAAAAAAUCCUUUUCAAUUCAAUGUGUAAUUCAUACAAGAAACAAUGUGGCUUAAAUGUGAGUUUCAUACAUCUGUUGUAACUCUGCAGUAUUUCAGAAAUACAUUCGUUUUCUAGUAUGGGGAAAGAAUAUCCUUUUCUCCCUCCCACCUCCCCCCAUAAAAACUACCUUUCAUUAUUAUGUAGGAAAAGUACAGGAAUUAAGUGCCCUAGGCAUAAUUAAGGAAGAAGAAAAACUGUACAUACCAAAAGCAAACUUGCACUACAGUGACAAUAAAUUUGAUAAUACUUAUCAAACUUGUGACAUCUGCAGGAUUUAUUCAAUUAGUAUUCAACUUAUUUUUGUGCACAAAUAAACAAAGUGUAGACACAAGUUCAAUGUAUAUAAAUUAUUUUAUUACUAUUUAUUCUUUAAAACAAAGUAAAUGCUUUCUUACCGUUGUAUUGUCUAGUAUUGGUUCACAGGCUUGGUUUGGCUAUUUCAUUUUAUUGUAAAAAUCCAGUAGUUAAGUGGCUGCAUAGUGCAAUUAUUUCAUUACUUAAGACAAAAUAAAAAGUAUAUUUGUCCUGCA